rnacentral:lncRNA from 1 species
CAGCAAGGCUGAGAACCACGACUGAGAUGGCUUCAAAUCAGAAACCAGCUUCCCGGCUUGUGGAAUCCCCUACAUGUACACUUGCAGGUGUUUUAACAUAGGCAUGGGUGGUCUGACUGCUGUGUUGGGAGCAAGCAGAGGAAGUAACCAAAAGUGCAUCUGGUUUAGGAUAAUUCUCGAACUUCCUUUUCUCCAGCAUCUGUCUUGCUCUGGGGUGAUUCACACAGAAGGCAAUCUCACAAAUAGCC